rnacentral:rRNA from 1 species
UACGGAGGGGGGCUAGCGUUGUUCGGAAUUACUGGGCGUAAAAGCGCACGUAGGCGGCUUUUGCAAGUUAGAGGUGAAAGCCCGGGGCUCAACCCCGGAAUUGCCUUUAAAACUGCAUCGCUAGAAUUGUGGAGAGGUAAGUGGAAUUCCGAGUGUAGAGGUGAAAUUCGUAGAUAUUCGGAAGAACACCAGUGGCGAAGGCGACUUACUGGACACAUAUUGACGCUGAGGUGCGAAAAGCGUGGGGAGCAAACAGG